rnacentral:rRNA from 1 species
UUGACACGUUGAAGUGAAGGAGCGAAAACCCUGGCGGGUUCUCGGGCGACGAAUCGUGCAAGCACGCAUCUCAUCGCUCGCCGUCGAUAUGUUUUUGCACCCUUUGUCAUCACUCUUUCAUUGGCUGU